UGCUACUUCUCCUGAACCAGUCUGAGCCUCAAUCACUUGCCAGAGAGAUUGAUUCAGGAAUUUGUCAGGGAUAGCC
ensembl:miRNA